AUUGAACGCUGGCGGCAUGCCUUACACAUGCAAGUCGAACGGCAGCACGGGAGCAAUCCUGGUGGCGAGUGGCGAACGGGUGAGUAAUGUAUCGGAACGUACCGUGUAGUGGGGAUAACGUAGCGAAAGUUACGCUAAUACCGCAUACGCACUGAGGUGGAAAGCAGGGGAUCGCAAGACCUUGCGCUAUACGAGCGGCCGAUGUCAGAUUAGCUAGUUGGUAGGGUAAAGGCCUACCAAGGCGACGAUCUGUAACGGGUCUGAGAGGAUGAUCCGCCACACUGGGACUGAGACACGGCCCAGACUCCUACGGGAGGCAGCAGUGGGGAAUUUUGGACAAUGGGCGAAAGCCUGAUCCAGCCAUGCCGCGUGAGUGAAGAAGGCCUUCGGGUUGUAAAGCUCUUUCGGCUGGGAAGAAAUCGCACAGGCUAAUACUCUGUGUGGAUGACGGUACCAGCACAAGAAGCACCGGCUAACUACGUG
rnacentral:rRNA from 1 species